rnacentral:pre_miRNA from 1 species
UCAACUCAUAUUUGUAUGCAGUUGGAACAGAGCCCCUAGCGGCAAACGUAGGCAAACGUUCCUACUCCAUACAAAUUUGAGUUA